rnacentral:rRNA from 1 species
GUGACUGCGUACCUUUUGUAUAAUGGGUCAGCGACUUAUAUUCUGUAGCAAGGUUAACCGUAUAGGGGAGCCGGAGGGAAACCGAGUCUUAACCGGGCGUUAAGUUGCAGGGUAUAGACCCGAAACCCGGUGAUCUAGCCAUGGGCAGGUUGAAGGUUGGGUAACACUAACUGGAGGACCGAACCGACUAAUGUUGAAAAAUUAGCGGAUGACCUGUGGCUGGGGGUGAAAGGCCAAUCAAACCGGGAGAUAGCUGGUUCUCCCCGAAAGCUAUUUAGGUAGCGCCUCGUGAAUUCAUCUCCGGGGGUAGAGCACUGUUUCGGCUAGGGGGCCAUCCCGGCUUACCAACCCGAUGCAAACUGCGAAUACCGGAGAAUGUUAUCACGGGAGACACACGGCGGGUGCUAACGUCCGUCGUGAAGAGGGAAACAACCCAGACCGCCAGCUAAGGUCCCAAAGUCAUGGUUAAGUGGGAAACGAUGUGGGAAGGCCCAGACAGCCAGGAUGUUGGCUUAGAAGCAGCCAUCAUUUAAAGAAAGCGUAAUAGCUCACUGGUCGAGUCGGCCUGCGCGGAAGAUGUAACGGGGCUAAACCAUGCACCGAAGCUGCGGCAGCGAACGUAUCACCCAAGACAACUUUACGGAGUUGACGAUUGACGGAGCGAAGCGACGUCAAAGCGUUCAUUAAAGUCGAGUUGGCUUAGGGAUACGUUCGUUGGGUAGGGGAGCGUUCUGUAAGCCUGUGAAGGUGUGUCGUGAGGCAUGCUGGAGGUAUCAGAAGUGCGAAUGCUGACAUAAGUAACGAUAAAGCGGGUGAAAAGCCCGCUCGCCGGAAGACCAAGGGUUCCUGUCCAACGUUAAUCGGGGCAGGGUGAGUCGACCCCUAAGGCGAGGCCGAAAGGCGUAGUCGAUGGGAAACGGGUUAAUAUUCCCGUACUUGGUGUUACUGCGAAGGGGGGACGGAGAAGGCUAUGUUGGCCGGGCGACGGGUGUCCCGGGUUAAGCGUGUAGGUGUGUGUUCCAGGUAAAUCCGGUUCACUUUAACACUGAGGCGUGACGACGAGGCACUACGGUGCUGAAGCAACAAAUGCCCUGCUUCCAGGAAAAGCCUCUAAGCAUCAGGUAACACGAAAUCGUACCCCAAACCGACACAGGUGGUCAGGUAGAGAAUACCAAGGCGCUUGAGAGAACUCGGGUGAAGGAACUAGGCAAAAUGGUGCCGUAACUUCGGGAGAAGGCACGCUGACACGUAGGUGAAGUGAUUUACUCAUGGAGCUGAAGUCAGUCGAAGAUACCAGCUGGCUGCAACUGUUUAUUAAAAACACAGCACUGUGCAAACACGAAAGUGGACGUAUACGGUGUGACGCCUGCCCGGUGCCGGAAGGUUAAUUGAUGGGGUCAGCGCAAGCGAAGCUCCUGAUCGAAGCCCCGGUAAACGGCGGCCGUAACUAUAACGGUCCUAAGGUAGCGAAAUUCCUUGUCGGGUAAGUUCCGACCUGCACGAAUGGCGUAAUGAUGGCCAGGCUGUCUCCACCCGAGACUCAGUGAAAUUGAACUCGCUGUGAAGAUGCAGUGUACCCGCGGCAAGACGGAAAGACCCCGUGAACCUUUACUAUAGCUUGACACUGAACAUUGAGCCUUGAUGUGUAGGAUAGGUGGGAGGCUUUGAAGUGUGGACGCCAGUCUGCAUGGAGCCGACCUUGAAAUACCACCCUUUAAUGUUUGAUGUUCUAACGUGGACCCGUAAUCCGGGUUGCGGACAGUGUCUGGUGGGUAGUUUGACUGGGGCGGUCUCCUCCUAAAGAGUAACGGAGGAGCACGAAGGUUGGCUAAUCCUGGUCGGACAUCAGGAGGUUAGUGCAAUGGCAUAAGCCAGCUUGACUGCGAGCGUGACGGCGCGAGCAGGUGCGAAAGCAGGUCAUAGUGAUCCGGUGGUUCUGAAUGGAAGGGCCAUCGCUCAACGGAUAAAAGGUACUCCGGGGAUAACAGGCUGAUACCGCCCAAGAGUUCAUAUCGACGGCGGUGUUUGGCACCUCGAUGUCGGCUCAUCACAUCCUGGGGCUGAAGUAGGUCCCAAGGGUAUGGCUGUUCGCCAUUUAAAGUGGUACGCGAGCUGGGUUUAGAACGUCGUGAGACAGUUCGGUCCCUAUCUGCCGUGGGCGCUGGAGAACUGAGGGGGGCUGCUCCUAGUACGAGAGGACCGGAGUGGACGCAUCACUGGUGUUCGGGUUGUCAUGCCAAUGGCACUGCCCGGUAGCUAAAUGCGGAAGAGAUAAGUGCUGAAAGCAUCUAAGCACGAAACUUGCCCCGAGAUGAGUUCUCCCUGAGACUUAGAGUCUCCUGAAGGAACGUUGAAGACGACGACGUUGAUAGGCCGGGUGUGUAAGCGCAGCGAUGCGUUGAGCUAACCGGUACUAAUGAACCGUGAGGCUUAACCUU